UAUAUAUAUUACUCUUCAUUUCUUUGGACUUUGAAAGAAGAAAAAAAAAAACUGUCAAUCAGUAAUCGAAAAUUCUUCGUAAAUUCGAUAAUAAAAAUGAGUUCAUACGAAUGAUAAAAGUAAAUAGUUGAUUUUCUUUUUAUGUAUAUAUUCUUUACGUAUAUGAGACGUAAAAAUCUAAUAUUCUGAUUUAAAUGAUACACCCUGUAUGUAUGUGGAUGCGUGCGUGCGUGCGUAUUAUCGAAAGAAAAGAUUGCAAAUGGUCGAUAACGAGGCAGGCAUAUAAAACACGUUUCAGUUUGUUCCAUUUGAAAAUAAUAGAUACAUACAUACGUAACGUCAAUCGUUAAGCUCAUAACGAAAGUGAAAAGAAGCCGUAUAUGUGUUCGUAUAUGUGUUUCAUCGAGUCAAUGGUGUCGGUCGUGCGCGUCUGACGUUACGUUAAGAGACAUCAGAUACAUAAAUAUAUAUAUAUAUAUAUAUA